rnacentral:rRNA from 1 species
UACGUAGGUGGCAAGCGUUGUUCGGAUUUACUGGGCGUAAAGGGCGCGUAGGCGGCCUGCUAAGUCGAACGUGAAAUCCCUGGGCUCAACCCAGGAACUGCGUCCGAUACUGGUUGGCUUGAAUCCGGGAGAGGGACGUGGAAUUCCAGGUGUAGCGGUGAAAAUGCGCAGAUAUCAGGAGGAACACCGGUGGCGAAGGCGGGUCUCUGGGCCGAUACUGACGCUGGAGGAGCGAAAAGCGUGGGGAGCGAACAGG